rnacentral:rRNA from 1 species
CCCUUAGAUGUUCUGGGCCGCACGCGCGCUACACUGAUGCAUUCAACGAGCCUAUCCUUGACCGACAGGUCCGGGUAAUCUUUGAAUCUGCAUCGUGACGGGGAUAGAUUAUUGCAAUUAUUAAUCUUCAACGAGGAAUGCCUAGUAGGCGCAAGUCAUCAGCUUGCAUUGAUUACGUCCCUGCCCUUUGUACACACCGCCCGUCGCUCCUACCGAUUGAAUGAUCCGAUGAAUAUCAUGGAUUGAGGAUUAUAGCAGGUUCGCCUGUCUUGAUCUUCGAGAAGUGAAGUAAAUCUUAUCAUUUAGAGGAAGGAGAAGUCGUAACA